rnacentral:rRNA from 1 species
UACGAAGGGGGCUAGCGUUGUUCGGAAUUACUGGGCGUAAAGCGCACGUAGGCGGAUAUUUAAGUCAGGGGUGAAAUCCCAGAGCUCAACUCUGGAACUGCCUUUGAUACUGGGUAUCUCGAGUAUGGAAGAGGUGAGUGGAAUUCCGAGUGUAGAGGUGAAAUUCGUAGAUAUUCGCAAGAACACCAGUGGCGAAGGCGGCUUACUGGUCCGGUUCUGACGCUGAGGCGCGAAAGCGUGGGGAGCAAACAGG